rnacentral:lncRNA from 1 species
UGGCAUUGUUCACCUCCUAGUAAAUUAGAGAGAUGAAAACUUAGAGGAAGACCAAAAUUUUAUGAAAAAAAUGAAAUAUUUUGGCAUCUUGUCCAUUGUAUAUGAACAAAGAAAAUCAAAAUAUCAAAUGACAGAGUAAAACAUAUAUUAAUUUACUACUUUGAUUUUCUUGAAAAUUUUGAUUUUAGACAUUAAUAUUUUAAUUUUAUUUAAUAUCAAGGAACUAGUGGACACGAUUAAAAAAAAAGAACAAUGAAUUUAAUUGUUUAUUGAUGUUUAUUUUGUAGGAUAAAUAUUUAAUAGUGUUAGAUAACAUAUCUUUGUUUAGAGUU